AAACCAGCACCUCAAGUGGUCAGGAUGAUUAUUGGGCCUAAAGCAUCCGUAGCCGGCUCAGUAAGUUUUCGGUUAAAUCUGUACGCUCAACGUACAGGCUGCCGGGAAUACUGCAGAGCUAGGGAGUGGGAGAGGUAGACGGUACUCGGGAGGAAGUGGUAAAAUGCUUUGAUCUUUCGAUGACCACCUGUGGCGAAGGCGGUCUACCAGAACACGUCCGACGGUGAGGGAUGAAAGCUGGGGGAGCAAACCGGAUUAGAAACCCCGGUAGUCC
rnacentral:rRNA from 1 species